GUUCGCUUUCUGGCAUCUCCAGUAACGAAAGGAUUGGAUGCAUCUGAAGCCUUCCAAGUCACCGUGUUUCACUGCAGGCACAUGUUCCACAAAGAGUGCAUUCCUGAACCUAACACAAUCUCUUCAGUGAAGUUCUGUAACAUCUGCAGCGCUAAGCACCGAGGUCCGGGCAGCGCCAUCCAGGAGAUGAAGAAAUGAGAGCCCCUGGCAUACCAUCAAUCUCUCUUCCUCUGUGUGUGUGUGUUUGUCUGUCUGUCUUAACUUGGCAUAGAGGAGUAAUGCUUCAUUGUUAAUGCCUGUAUCCGUUUAAUUCUGGCUGGGGACAUGGAGAAUCUUUAAAUCAUCCAGAACAUCGAUAUUUCUUCUAUGGAUCCCUAGCAAUAAAAAGGCAGAAGAGAAAUCAAUGUAUCAUCAGAUGAUGUAUCACUGCUGCAUAGUUCAGAAUUGCUCGCCUGUAUGUUUGUCUUAAUAAUGAAAACAAUUAAACCUAAUGGUAUAA